rnacentral:rRNA from 1 species
UACCAGCUCUCCGAGUGGUAGGGAUGAUUAUUGGGCUUAAAGCGUCCGUAGCCGGCUUAGCAAGUCUCCUGUUAAAUUCAGCGACCUAAUCGUUGAGCCGCGGGAGAUACUACUAGGCUAGGAGGCGGGGAGAGGUCAACGGUACUUCCGGGGUAGGGGUGAAAUCCUAUAAUCCCGGGAGGACCACCAGUGGCGAAGGCUGUUGACUAGAACGCGCUCGACGGUGAGGGACGAAAGCUGGGGGAGCGAACCGGAUUAGAUACCCGGGUAGUCCCAGCUGUAAACGAUGCGAGCUAGGUGUUGGGGUGGCUACGUGCCACUUCAGUGCCGCGAGGGAAGCCAUUAAGCUCGCCGCCGUGGGGAGUACGGCCGCAAGGCGUGAAACUUAAAGGAAUUGGGCGGGGGAGCCACCACGAAGGCGUGAAGCUUGGCGGUUC